AGAAAUUUUAUAUACCGAGCUUGUACGCCUAAGUUUUUAAAUUUAUUUGAAAAUAAGGCGGCAAUGCCAGCAAUGAAUUUUAUUGCUCAGGGAUAAUGUGGGAAACGACUUAUCCUCUCAUCUUCAGAAAGGUAUCAAAUGCAAUCUAUU
rnacentral:ncRNA from 19 species